rnacentral:tRNA from 1 species
GGGGUUGUGGCCGAGUGGUUAAGGCGCUACGUUUAGGCUGCACAGCUAAAUCCGUAGUGGGAAACCGCGUGCGUUCGAACCGCACCAACCUCA